GGAUUCCCCUAGUAACUGCGAGUGAAGCGGGAAAAGCUCAAAUUUAAAAUCUGGCGGUCUUUGGCCGUCCGAGUUGUAAUUUAGAGAAGCGUCUUCCGCGCCGGACCGUGCACAAGUCUCCUGGAAUGGAGCGUCAUAGAGGGUGAGAAUCCCGUCUUUGGCACGGAUGCCUGUGCUUCUGUGAUGCGCUCUCAAAGAGUCGAGUUGUUUGGGAAUGCAGCUCAAAAUGGGUGGUGAACUCCAUCUAAAGCUAAAUAUUGGCGAGAGACCGAUAGCGAACAAGUACCGUGAGGGAAAGAUGAAAAGCACUUUGGAAAGAGAGUGAAACAGUACGUGAAAUUGUUGAAAGGGAAACGCUUGAAGUCAGUCGCGUCGACCGAGACUCAGCCUUGCCUUGGCUUGGUGUACUUCUCGGCCCGACGGGUCAGCAUCAAUUUUGCCCCUCGGAUAAUGACAAGGGAAAGGUGGCACCUUUGCGGGUGUGUUAUAGUCUCCUGUCGCAUGCGAGGGGUGGGAUUGAGGAACUCAGCGCGCACCUUGGUGUCGGGGCUUCGGCCCACGUCACGCGCUUAGGAUGCUGGCGUAAUGGCUUUAAACGACCCGUCUUGAAACACGGACCAAGGAGUCCAACACGCCCGCGAGUGUUCGGGUGGAAAACCCGUGCGCGCAAUGAAAGUGAAAGUUGGGACCUCUGUCGUGGAGGGCACCGACGCCCGGACCAGACCUUCUGUGACGGAUCUGCGGUAGAGCGUGUGUGUUGGGACCCGAAAGAUGGUGAACUAUGCCUGAAUAGGGUGAAGCCAGAGGAAACUCUGGUGGAGGCUCGUAVCGAUUCUGACGUGCAAAUCGAUCGUCAAAUUUGGGUAUAGGGGCGAAAGACUAAUC
rnacentral:rRNA from 1 species